GUAGGUGGCAAGCGUUGUCCGGAAUUAUUGGGCGUAAAGCGCGCGCAGGCGGUCCUUUAAGUCUGAUGUGAAAGCCCACGGCUCAACCGUGGAGGGUCAUUGGAAACUGGGGGACUUGAGUACAGAAGAGGAAAGCGGAAUUCCAAGUGUAGCGGUGAAAUGCGUAGAGAUUUGGAGGAACACCAGUGGCGAAGGCGGCUUUCUGGUCCGUAACUGACGCUGAGGCGCGAAAGCGUGGGGAGCAAACAGGAUUAGAUACCCUGGUAGUCCACGCCGUAAACGAUGAGUGCUAAGUGUUAGGGGGUUUCCCGCCCCCUUAGUGCUGCAGCUAACGCAUUAAGCACUCCGCCUGGGGAGUACGGCCGCAAGGCUG
rnacentral:rRNA from 1 species